CAGAUGUGAUUUCAAGUAAAAUCGUAAUGCUCGUGUUAAAACUCAUUGGAAACAUUAGAAAAGUUCGCAGUUACGCUAUUCUUCUACCUGCAUUUCGUGAAGCUUCUACGCCAGUAACUGCAGCCUGGAUGCCUUUUGUGAUUCAGUUGAAUCUUUGAAAACAGCCACGGAAUGGAAGACCCUGGUUAAAGGACUCUUAUCAGUUUGAAGCAUUAAGUGGCUUUUUCUUGAAUGGUAAACGCGGAGAUUAAUUCUUUUGAAAGAGAGACAGAAAAAUGGGGCUUUGGGAGUUUUUAAAAAUUAGCUUAUCAGGGUUGUUUCGGGUCUGUGACCGCCGCCCUUGUAUCAACAGGAACGGUUCAUUUGCUCUCUACUCCAGGGAGCUCUCAGUGCCAUGUAAAUACUACAUGACUCAUGAUUCUGUGUUCAUAAUUUAAAAAUGAAGUUGAAUGCAUUUCAAAUGAAAGACUGACUAGUUGCUGCAGUCGAAGGCUUUUUAUUUAAAAUGUACAUGUGUUUUUAAUAUGAAUUUAUAUUUUGUGUGUACAGUACUACUGGUAGAUUUCUUAUUCACUGUCCUGAGUACAAAAUUUGUUAGAAUGGUAGGUUGUAGGCCUAACAAAUAAAUACUUCACUAUUUUAAUUUACAUUGUAACCUACUAUGGGGUCAUUGUUGUGAAAAGUUUAUAAAUGUCUUAAAUUGGAAGUAAAUAAUGUUCUGAUGUUCUAGAAUAACAUUUGAAAUGUUGAGAAACAGAGAAGGCAAAUUAUCUGCAAUUCAUUCUGAACCUAUAGUCCAGGAAUUUGACAAGAAGGAAUAGACACUGUUACAGGUAGUCCUUGUUAACUGACUACUAAUUCAGUGACUAUUCAGAGCUGAAAUGAUGCCGAACAAGUUAUACUUAUGACUGAUCCUUGAAGUUCCAGUUGUCCCAGGACCCCCACUGUCAUGUGAUUGUGAUUCAGGCACUUUGCAACCAGCUUCCACUUCUGUGAGUUAAAACAUCUCCCAGUCACCUGAUGACCAUUUGAGACCCACCCUGGCAGCUUUCCACAAGCAAAAUCAAUGGGAAAGCCAGCAGGGAAGCUCAGAAGUUGCUUGGUGACUCUGAUGUCCCAGCUAAACCUCUGGGUGGCCUCAACAACUCUAAAAGAAUGCAAAAGACGAGGUGUCUGCAAAGAGUAUAAAUCCUUUCAUUCCCCACCACCCAUCAGAGCUGAAGAAGCUUCUUGGCUGAGAAGCAUCAUCUUCAACACCAAAGUUCAAAAGUAUCAAUAGUCUCUUAGGUUGCUCCUUCAAAAUAUAGACUUCAUAGAAGAUAAUGUUGAAAAAGCUCUUCUCGAACUGAAACCAUCCCUAUCUAUUGGACCUGAUGGACUAUGUGCAUACUUCUUAAAAAAACUUUCCACUAAUAUAGCAGAAUCCCUAAGCAUAAUUUUUGAAAAAACUUUCACGACCAGUUCCCUUCCCAAACUUUGGCCACUAGACACAGUAAUCCCUGUCUUCAAAGAAGGAGACCCCAGCCUAGUUGAAAAUUACAGACCAAUCUCUCUAUGCUGCGUCACCUGCAAAAUAAUGAAAUCUAUCAUCAACCAAUCCAUUACCCUCCACCUAGAAACAACCUAUUCUCUAAUAAACAAUUUGGUUUAUCAUGUAACUUACAACUUCUUCACUGCAAAAACAUAUUGACUACAAAUCUUGAUCAGGGAAAGCAAUAGAUGCAAUCUACAUAGACUUCUAUAAAGCUUUUGACUCAGUAGUACAUGAUAAACUUCUCCUAAAACUAAAAUCCUAUGGCAUCUCAGGACCCCUCCACAAUUGGAUAACAGCUUUCCUAUCAAACAGACACCAAGUGGUCAAAAUUGGCAACGCUCUAUAAAUCCUGUUCCUGUCAAAAGUGGCGUUCCCCAAGGCAGCUUUCUUGGAUCAACACUCUUCAUAUUAUACAUUAAUGAUCUCUGUGACCAUAUCACAAGUAAUUGUGUUCUCUUUGCUGACGAUGUCAAACUAUUUAACACCACCAACAAUACAACUACCCUUCAAAAAGACCUUGACUUUGUAUCUGAAUGGUCUAAAACUUGGCAAUUCCAAAUCUCAACCAGCAAAUGCUCUGUCUUACACAUUGGAAAAAAAAACCUAAACACUAAGUACAAGCUUGAUGGGCAUUACCUUAAGAUGUCCCCCACCCUGUUAAAGACCUUGGAGUCUUCAUAUCAAAUGAUCUAAGUGCCAAAGUCCACUGCAACUACAUCACAAAAAAGGCUCUAAGAGUUGUAAACCUAAUCUUGUGUAACUUCUUCUCCAAAAACACUACACUACUAACCAGAGCAUAUAAAACAUUUGCUAGACCACUUCUAGAAUACAGCUCGACUGUCUGGAACCCAUGCACAUUUCUGACAUCAAUACAAUCAAACGUGUCCAGAAAUAUUUUACAAGAAGAGUUCACUCCUCUGAAUACAACAAAAUACCUUAUGCCACCAGACUUGAAAUCCUGGGUUUAGAAAAUUUAGAACUACGCCACCUUCGACAUGACCUGAGUUUAACUCAUAGAAUCAUCUAUUACAAAGUCCUUCCUGUCGAAGACUACUUCAGCUUCAAUUGCAACAAUACACACAACAGCACACAACAGAUUUAAGCUUAAUGUUAACUGCUCCAAUCUUGAUUGCAGAAAAUAUGACUUCAGCAACAGAGUUGUUAAUGCCUAGAAUAAACUAUCUGACUCUGUGGUCUCUUCCCAAAAUCCCAAAAGCUUCAACCAAAAACUGUCUACUAUUGACCUAACCCCAUUUCUAAGAGGUCUGUAAGAGGUGUGCAUAAGAGCACAAGUGUGCCUACUGUUCCUGUCCUAUUGUUUCCUUUCGUUAUACCCAAAUUAAUAUAGUUAUUACAUACUCAUACAUAUAUAUGCUUAUAUACUGUAUAAUUAUUUCAUGCUUAUGCUUAUAUAUACACUGUGUGACAAAAUAAAAUAAAUAAAAUAAAAAUAAA